rnacentral:rRNA from 1 species
AGUUAGUUGGUAAGGUAACGGCUUACCAAGACAAUGACGGGUAGCGGGUUUGAGAGGAUGAUCCGCCACACUGGUACUGAGACACGGACCAGACUCCUACGGGAGGCAGCAGUGAGGAAUAUUGCACAAUGGGGGAAACCCUGAUGCAGCAACGCCGCGUGGAGGAUGACGCAUUUCGGUGUGUAAACUCCUUUUAUAUGUCAAGAAAAUGACGGUAGCAUAUGAAUAAGCACCGGCUAACUCCGUGCCAGCAGCCGCGGUAAUACGGAGGGUGCAAGCGUUAUUCGGAAUCACUGGGCGUAAAGGACGCGUAGGCGGGCUUUCAAGUCAGGUGUGAAAUCCUACAGCUUAACUGUAGAACUGCACUUGAAACUGGGAGCCUAGAGUAUGGGAGGGGCAGAUGGAAUUAGUGGUGUAGGGGUAAAAUCCGUAGAUAUCACUAUGAAUACCGAAAGCGAAGCGAUCUGCUGGGAACAUAACUGACGCUAAGGCGUGAAAGCGUNGGGNAGCAAACAGGAUUAGAUACCNUGGUAGUCCACGCCCAAACGAUGAACACUAGUCGUCGCUCUGCUAGUCAGGGCGGUGAUGCACUUAACAGAUUAAGUGUUCCGCCUGGGGAGUACGGUCGCAAGAUUAAAACUCAAAGGAAUAGACGGGGACCCGCACAAGUGGUGGAGCAUGUGGUUUAAUUCGAAGAUACGCGAAGAACCUUACCUAGCCUUGACAUUGAAGAAACACUUUAGAGAUAGAGUGGUGCCCUUCGGGGAAUCUGAAAACAGGUGCUGCACGGCUGUCGUCAGCUCGUGUCGUGAGAUGUUGGGUUAAGUCCCGCAACGAGCGCAACCCUCGUCCUUAGUUGCUAGCAGUUCGGCUGAGCACUCUAAGGAGACUGCCUUCGUAAGGAGGAGGAAGGUGAGGACGACGUCAAGUCAUCAUGGCCCUUAUGGCUAGGGCUACACACGUGCUACAAUGGGGCGUACAGAGAGUUGCGAUACCGCGAGGUGGAGCUAAUCUCUUAAAGCGUCUCUCAGUUCGGAUUGGAGUCUGCAACUCGACUCCAUGAAGCUGGAAUCACUAGUAAUCGUAGAUCAGCAAUGCUACGGUGAAUACGUUCCCGGGUCUUGUACUCACCGCCCGUCA